CCCGGGCUGCGUCCGCGGUGGCCAUCAUCGCGCGCUGGCCUCGGCCGCUGCGCCCAGCUCCCGCUGGCCCCGACCCGAUCCGCUCGGCCAGGCCCGGUUUCCGGAGGCCUGUCGGAGUGGGGUCUGGCCCCGCGAGUCAUCGGCCCGGUCCCCCGCCCCAGGACGCCACGGAACCCCUCCUUCGCCCCUUGCAGUCUUAGCAUCCGACCCGCUCACCUCCGCGGAGCCGCCGCGCGUUGCCCCGACAACGGUUGAGCGCCGAACGCGGAAACAGCCGAAGGUGAGCGCGGCGGAUGCCGAGGCCACCCGAAGCGCCCCCAGAGGCCGGAAAGAGCCGAAGACGGUCGAGACUGUUCGUGAGGCGCCGAGGGCAAGAGUCCCCUGGCGGGUCACCGCCCGCGGCCAGCUCCGUGGUCUUGCGUGGCAUUUUGUCUUUGUCGCAGCCCCUGUUUAGGACCAGCAACGCUACCUCGGAAAGGGGAGCUAGGAGGCCAGUCUUUGCCUGUGCUGCGUAGAGAACGGAAGCGAGUGACAUUUUUAUAGGUGUGAUAAGAAUGCAAAGCCUGUUGGGACCGGCUCCUGCAAUUACACCUUAACAAACGGGUCGGUCGGAUGAGAGAAUGUGGGGGAGAAACAACGCCAUCUUCCCUAAGAUUCUCUUCUUCUCUUUUCAUUUUCUUGCUGAGUCUUUGGAACCGCACACCGUUUGAUGGGCUCUACUUUGUCUUUUCUCGAGGAGGAGGGUGUGGUUCAAGAGGAUUUCUGAGCAAAGUCAGUUCAUUCGACGUAAUAUUUGACGCGCAUUCAACGACUUGGGGGCCGUAUGGACUCUGGCGAGAUAAUGGUAGUCAAGGGUACCUACGGCCUCAUUCCAUUAUAAGCCAACCUGGCUCGUGUUGGCAGAUUGCAUUCCCAAAGGCACUAGGACGUGCGCCCUGGCCUUUUCGGUCAUGCGUGGUUAAACUUGGAAAUUAAGUUUGAACAACACAGCGAAGUCAUGUCAUUAAAGGAAAGAAAAAAUGUUGCGACAGCAAAUUAGUCCCCAUUAAGUGGAUCUGACAGGAAAGGUGCUGGAUCACACAGGUUUGUACCCUCGAACACCACCUCGCUUAUCCUCUCUUCCAUGAGCAAUGCUAGAAUUUACAACACACUCCUUUAACGCCAUCACGAGGAAACAUGACCCGAGUGCUCAGCGCCAUCCACUGCACUAAAGAACUUCAAAAGCACACACUCAACGUAAUAAAGGGCGUGUUUAUCUGA